AACGGAGGGUGCAAACGUUGCUCGGAAUCAUUGGGCGUAAAGCGCGCGUAGGCGGUUCGGCAAGUCGGGUGUGAAAGCCCUCGGCUCAACCGAGGAAGUGCAUUCGAAACUGCCGGACUUGAGUACUGGAGAGGGUGACGGAAUUCCCGGUGUAGAGGUGAAAUUCGUAGAUAUCGGGAGGAACACCAGUGGCGAAGGCGGUCACCUGGACAGAUACUGACGCUGAGGCGCGAAAGCGUGGGGAGCAAACAGG
rnacentral:rRNA from 1 species